rnacentral:rRNA from 1 species
UAUUAUGAGAGUUUGAUCCUGGCUCAGGACGAACGCUGGCGGCGUGCCUAAUACAUGCAAGUCGAACGCUUCUUUCCUCCCGAGUGCUUGCACUCAAUUGGAAAGAGGAGUGGCGGACGGGUGAGUAACACGUGGGUAACCUACCCAUCAGAGGGGGAUAACACUUGGAAACAGGUGCUAAUACCGCAUAACAGUUU